rnacentral:tRNA from 1 species
UCCCGGCUGGUGUAAUGGCAACACGCAGGCCUUUGGAGCCUUGCGAUCGAGGUUCGAAUCCUCGGCCGGGAGCCA